rnacentral:rRNA from 1 species
GAUGAACGCUGGCGGCGUGCCUAACACAUGCAAGUCGAACGGAGUCGUUUUGGAAAUCUCUUCGGAGAUGGAAUUCUCGACUUAGUGGCGGACGGGUGAGUAACGCGUGAGCAAUCUGCCUUUAAGAGGGGGAUAACAGUCGGAAACGGCUGCCAAUACCGCAUAAAGCAUCAAAUUCGCAUGUUUUUGAUGCCAAAGGAGCAAUCCACGUUUAGAUGAGCUCGCGUAUGAUUAGCUAGUUGGCGGGGUAACGGCCCACCAAGGCGACGAUGAGUAGCCGGACUGAGAGGUUGAACGGCCACAUCGUGACUGAGACACGGCCCAGACUCCUACGGGAGGCAGCGGUGAGGAAUAUUGCGCAAUGGGGGAAACCCUGACGCAGCAACGCCGCGCGAUUGAAGAAGGCCUUCGGGUUGUAAAGAUCUUUAAUCAGGGACGAAAAAAUGACGGUACCUGAAGAAUAAGCUCCGGCUAACUACGUGCCAGCCGCCGCAGUAA